AAUGACUCAAAAUAUUAAUCUAAAAUAUAUUUGGGCCUAUUAAGACCUCAAUGCAAGCAAGAUCAACUAAAAUCCAUUGUCAGGGUCUCAAAUCCGACUUACGUUCAUUAUAUUAAAUGCCCAAUGCAGAUAAAGUCCACGUGUCCCCUCUUAAAUCGGCUCAGAUUGGAUCCCGUUACUAGUUAGAUAUAUGGUAAUGAGUACUCAGGACAGCGUGAGAAGCCCCUUCCCAUUCCUCACUCCUAUUUUAAAAAAAAUGCCCACAUUCCUUCUCUGUCAUUGUAAGUUCCUGUUUAAUUACCCUUAGGGAACGCAUAUCUCCUCGAGUAUCUACGAAUAUUCU
rnacentral:lncRNA from 1 species